rnacentral:rRNA from 1 species
GAUGAACGCUGGCGGCGUGCCUAAUACAUGCAAGUCGAGCGAACAGACGAGGAGCUUGCUCCUCUGACGUUAGCGGCGGACGGGUGAGUAACACGUGGAUAACCUACCUAUAAGACUGGGAUAACUUCGGGAAACCGGAGCUAAUACCGGAUAAUAUAUUGAACCGCAUGGUUCAAUAGUGAAAGACGGUUUUGCUGUCACUUAUAGAUGGAUCCGCGCCGCAUUAGCUAGUUGGUAAGGUAACGGCUUACCAAGGCAACGAUGCGUAGCCGACCUGAGAGGGUGAUCGGCCACACUGGAACUGAGACACGGUCCAGACUCCUACGGGAGGCAGCAGUAGGGAAUCUUCCGCAAUGGGCGAAAGCCUGACGUAGCAACGCCGCGUGAGUGAUGAAGGUCUUCGGAUCGUAAAACUCUGUUAUUAGGGAAGAACAAAUGUGUAAGUAACUAUGCACGUCUUGACGGUACCUAAUCAGAAAGCCACGGCUAACUACGUG